rnacentral:rRNA from 1 species
GACGAACGCUGGCGGCGUGCUUAACACAUGCAAGUCGAACGGAAAGGCCUCUUUCGGGGGGUACUCGAGUGGCGAACGGGUGAGUAACACGUGAGUAACCUGCCCUUGACUUUGGGAUAACUUCAGGAAACUGGGGCUAAUACCGGACAGGAGCUCCUGCCGCAUGGUGGGGGGGGGAAAGUUUCGGCGGUUGGGGAUGGACGCGCGGCUUAUCAGCUUGUUGGUGGGGUAGUGGCUUACCAAGGCUUUGACGGGUAGCCGGCCGGUGAGGGAGACCGGCCAGACUGGGACUGAGAGACGGCCCAGACUGCCACGGGAGGCAGCCGUGGGGAAUAUUGCUCCAGGGGUGGAAGCCUGAUGCAGCAACGCCGGGUGCGGGAUGACGGCCUUCGGGUGGUAAACCGCUUUCGCUCAUGACGAAGCUUUGUGUGACGGUAGUUGGUGAAGAAGCACCGGCUAACUACGUG